GGUGGGAUGCCUGAGCGGCUUAAAGGGACGGUCCUGAAAACCGUUGUUCCCUUACGGGAACCGUGAGUUCGAAUCUCACUCCCACCG
rnacentral:tRNA from 1 species